UGGUGGAUUAGUCGUUAGCACUGUUGCCCCACAGCAAGAAGGCCAUGGGUUUGAUUUCCACCUGUGGCCUUUCUGUGUGGAGUUUGCAUGUUUCCCCGUGUUUUCGUGGGUGUUCUCCAGGUGCUCCGAUUUCCUCCCACAAUUAAAGACAUGCAAGUUAGGUGAAUUGGAAACUUCAGAAUUGUCCAGAGGUGUGUUCAUGU